rnacentral:rRNA from 1 species
AUUGAACGCUGGCGGCAUGCUUUACACAUGCAAGUCGAACGGCAGCGCGGGCUUCGGCCUGGCGGCGAGUGGCGAACGGGUGAGUAAUGCAUCGGAACGUGCCCAGUAGUGGGGGAUAGCCCGGCGAAAGCCGGAUUAAUACCGCAUACGACCUGAGGGUGCAAGCGGGGGACCGAAAGGCCUCGCGCUAUUUGGGCGGCCGAUGUCGGGUUAGCUAGUUGGUGGGGUAAAGGCUUACCAAGGCGACGAUCCGUAGCUGGUCUGAGAGGACGACCAGCCACACUGGGACUGAGACACGGCCCAGACUCCUACGGGAGGCAGCAGUGGGGAAUUUUGGACAAUGGGGGCAACCCUGAUCCAGCCAUGCCGCGUGCGGGAAGAAGGCCUUCGGGUUGUAAACCGCUUUUGUUCGGGAAGAAAUCCUCUGGGCUAAUACCCCGGGGGAUGACGGUACCGGAAGAAUAAGCACCGGCUAACUACGUG